CGCGUAAAGAACUUGCCUCACAGCUAGGGACAACAUUUAGAAAUGAAUGCUAAUACCUGAUAUUAUGAUUUUAGGGCAUCUUAGAAUUAUGAAAGCUAUAAGCACUGUGAGAGAGCUUUGCGUCCCAUUAGCUAGUUGGAGAGGUAACAGCUCACCAAGGCGAUGAUGGGUAGCCGGCCUGAGAGGGUGAACGGCCACAAGGGGACUGAGACACGGCCCUU
rnacentral:rRNA from 1 species